rnacentral:tRNA from 1 species
GUCCAGGGGCGGGAAUCGAACCCACAACCUUCCGCUUACCGGAGCAGAUGCCAUGUCCACUAGGCUACCCUGGA